AUGAAGAGGAAGUGGAAUUUACAAGGAAGAUAUUCUGGGGGAAGUUUUUUGUUGUUGCUGCUAUUACUAGCCAGAAUGGCUUACAGCUCACAGAAAAGGUUCUCACUGGAGUCUGCUGUCUCCGGGUCCAGAAUGAAAUUUAGUACACCUUUUAACUUCAAACCUUAUCAUUCCUUUUGGGAAGUUACUACCUGAAACAUGCUUGUAACAUGCAGCUCUUUUGUAGAGAAGAGAUCAUUAAUACAUUGAAAUUGAAAUUGAUCAGUUCUGGUUUUCAGAUUUGUCCUUUUACCUAGAAUUUCUUUGCUUAUGGCUCAUUCACUUUGCUGUGCAACAGAAACGAACACAACAUUGUAAAGCAACUAUACUCCAAUAAAAUUGAUUAAAAAUAGUAAUAAUAAAAAAUAAAGGUCAUCCUCAAAAAAAAAAAUGGUCUAACAAUAGACUGUCUACAAGAAACUCACCUCAAAACUUCAAAUACAAGUACGUAAAUACCACAUAAGCAUUAUUUAAAAAAUAAAAAAAAAAGCAGUAGUGGCUACUUUAAUAUCAAGUAGAUUUUGGAGAAAAGAAAAUGCUUGAAGACAAAGAGAGACAUUUUAUAAUGAUAAAAGGAUUAAUCUUCCAGGAAGACAUAAUCAUUCCAAAUGUAACAGCACCAAAAACAGAGCAUCAAAAUACAUAAAACAAAGUUAUCCCAGUUGUCCUGUACCCACCCCAGGAAAGGGGCUGGCUGGUGGUCCAGAACAACUUGUGUAAUUACAGUGACUUUAGGCCAAAGUCUUAUGUGCCUUAUUACAGCUGCCACGCAGGGACCAGAAGGCAAGUAAAGAUACCACUCGAGAGAGAGCUCCAAGGACCAGAGCCAAAGGUACGUGUCUAGAGUAGUGGCCACGGGAAGAAAGGCUUUAGAGAAGGAAGUCAAAGACUCAGAGAGCUGGGAACAUAGAGCACAGACCUGUAGGUUGACGGAUACAAGCAGUAGCAUGAGAGAUUUCUUGCUAUAGCUGAGCAGGUGCCAUGCUCAGAUUGCAUGUUGCAUGAGAUCCAUGGGUACUUUUAAAGUGGCUGGGGCAUCAUUGCUAAGUCGCUUCAGUCGUGUCC
rnacentral:lncRNA from 1 species